GGCUUAAAAGAGGAGUUUAAGAAGGAGAUGUAGAUAAGGAAGAAGCAGAGGAGAGGAAAGAAGGGGUCACCUAUGAGAAAUGGAUGGAGAUGGAGAGAGCCAUCAUAGAGGGGGAGGCCUUAUAGUAGAUCUAGAGGAGGAUAAAGAGGAUAUGUGAGUGAGGAAAGAGAGGAUGGGGAAGAAGAGAUCAUCGCAAGGAAUGGACAUAGGUAUAGGGAGCCACCAUGGAAGAGGAGGAUACAUGGGCAGUAGGAAGACGAUGACUAGGAAGAGGGG
rnacentral:lncRNA from 1 species